UUUGCAAUGGCAAUCUCCCCACGAGUAUGCAUACCCUGGACCACUUGCAUGGGGUUUCCAACCGAGCCAGCCUGCACUACACAGGGGAGAGUCAGUUAACAGAGGUAUUACAAAAUCUCGGCAAAGACCAAUAUCCACAACAGUCGCUUGAACAGAUUGGCACCCGAAUUGCCAAAGUUUUGGAAAAGCAGGAGCAAUGGAACCAGAAGACAACAAAGUGACAUUUCAAUUGCUGGAAGAAAACAGCACCAACCUAGACCUCUGUACCCUGCAAAUAUCCUUUAAAAAUGAAGCAAAUAAAGUAAUCAUUAUGUAUGUUAUUGGCAAAAUGAUAGACCAAUAGAACAGUGGAACAAAAGAGAGAGGCCAAGAAUAAACCUUUACAUAGAUGGUCAA
rnacentral:lncRNA from 10 species